UACGUAGGUGGCAAGCGUUGUCCGGAUUUACUGGGCGUAAAGGGCGCGUAGGCUGCAAUUCAAGUCAUCUGUGAAAUCUCCGGGCUUAACUCGGAACGGGCAGAUGAUACUGCUUUGCUAGAGUGCGGAAGGGGCAAUCGGAAUUCUCGGUGUAGCGGUGAAAUGCGUAGAUAUCGAGAGGAACACCUGAGGUGAAGACGGGUUGCUGGGCCGACACUGACGCUGAGUGCGCGAAAGCCAGGGGAGCAAACGGG
rnacentral:rRNA from 1 species